rnacentral:rRNA from 1 species
UACGUAGGGUGCUAGCGUUGUCCGGAUUUAUUGGGCGUAAAGAGCUCGUAGGCGGUUCGUCGCGUCGGCUGUGAAAACCUGAGGCUCAACCUCAGGCCUGCAGUCGAUACGGGCGGACUUGAGUACUGCAGGGGAGACUGGAAUUCCUGGUGUAGCGGUGAAAUGCGCAGAUAUCAGGAGGAACACCGGUGGCGAAGGCGGGUCUCUGGGCAGUAACUGACGCUGAGGAGCGAAAGCGUGGGGAGCGAACAGG